rnacentral:rRNA from 1 species
UACGUAGGUCCCGAGCGUUGUCCGGAUUUAUUGGGCGUAAAGCGAGCGCAGGUGGUUUAUUAAGUCUGGUGUAAAAGGCAGUGGCUCAACCAUUGUAUGCAUUGGAAACUGGUAGACUUGAGUGCAGGAGAGGAGAGUAGAAUUCCAUGUGUAGCGGUGAAAUGCGAAGAUAUAUGGAGGAACACCGGUGGCGAAAGCGGCUCUCUGGCCUGUAACUGACACUGAGGCUCGAAAGCGUGGGGAGCAAACAGG